GUAUUUUAUCAUUUAAAGGCUGACAAAAGCCUACAUUUCAUUCUAUAGACAUUCAACUGUGUAUGUCAAAAAAAUACAUAAACACCCAGACUUUUCAAUAUCAAGAGAGGGGUCAACAAAUCAACGCCAACCUCUCCCCCCAUCCCGAGUGUCUACAAAGAGUGCACAGGUGGAAAAGAGAAUGAAGCAAGCAGCAAAAGACGUGCACAUGCUCCUUCGAGCCAGCUACAGCCUUGCCACCCAUUUCGUUCAGUAAUGAUCCUUCCGCAGGUUCACCUACGGAAA
rnacentral:misc_RNA from 1 species